AGAGUUUGAUCCUGGCUCAGGACGAACGCUGGCGGCGUGCUUAACACAUGCAAGUCGAGCGAGACCUUUCCUUCGGGGGAGUGUUCUAGCGGCGAACGGGUGAGUAACACGUGGGCAACCUGCCCUCAGCUCUGGGAUAACUCCAAGAAAUUGGGGCUAAUACCGGAUAUGACUGCUGACCGCAUGGUCUGGUGGUGGAAAGAUUUAUCGGCUGGGGAUGGGCCCGCGGCCUAUCAGCUUGUUGGUGGGGUAGUGGCCUACCAAGGCGACGACGGGUAGCCGGCCUGAGAGGGUGACCGGCCACACUGGGACUGAGACACGGCCCAGACUCCUACGGGAGGCAGCAGUGGGGAAUAUUGCGCAAUGGGCGGAAGCCUGACGCAGCGACGCCGCGUGGGGGAUGACGGCCUUCGGGUUGUAAACCUCUUUCAGCAGGGACGAAGCGAGAGUGACGGUACCUGCAGAAGAAGCACCGGCCAACUACGUGCCAGCAGCCGCGGUAAUACGUAGGGUGCAAGCGCUGUCCGGAAUUAUUGGGCGUAAAGAGCUCGUAGGCGGUUUGUUGCGUCGGCUGUGAAAUCCCGAGGCUCAACCUCGGGUCUGCAGUCGAUACGAGCAAACUAGAGUGUUGCAGGGGAGACUGGAAUUCCUGGUGUAGCGGUGAAAUGCGCAGAUAUCAGGAGGAACACCGGUGGCGAAGGCGGGUCUCUGGGCAACAACUGACGCUGAGGAGCGAAAGCGUGGGGGAGCGAACAGGAUUAGAUACCCUGGUAGUCC
rnacentral:rRNA from 1 species